GUUCAUGAUUAUAUGUGCACACAGCCAGUUUUCUUAAUUGCUCCCGUGUCAACACCACAACUAUAUGUCCCAAGUCAAAUGCUUUGAACAAUUACGUGUUAUGCUAAAUCUACAUGAAGGUUCCCAUCCCAAUUAUCAAUCUGUGCUCAUUACCUACUGUCUGUCUCUCUUCUUUAUUGAAGUUUGUUUGGUUACUGCUAGUAGAAUUGUAAGUUGAGACACUUUAUUCAUCUUCUAGGAGCUUUACCAGCAGUUUCAAACUGGAGCUUUUUUUCCCCUGAGAUUUUCUGUUCCUCCUUUUUUCUUCUUUAACAAAUUAACUUUCAUCCUCAUCAAAGGAAC
rnacentral:misc_RNA from 1 species